rnacentral:rRNA from 1 species
AACGAACGCUGGCGGCAUGCCUAACACAUGCAAGUCGAACGAGACCUUCGGGUCUAGUGGCGCACGGGUGCGUAACGCGUGGGAACCUGCCCUUAGGUUCGGAAUAACUCAGAGAAAUUUGAGCUAAUACCGGAUAAUGUCUUCGGACCAAAGAUUUAUCGCCUUUGGAUGGGCCCGCGUAGGAUUAGCUUGUUGGUGGGGUAAUGGCCUACCAAGGCGACGAUCCUUAGCUGGUCUGAGAGGAUGAUCAGCCACACUGGGACUGAGACACGGCCCAGACUCCUACGGGAGGCAGCAGUGGGGAAUAUUGGACAAUGGGCGAAAGCCUGAUCCAGCAAUGCCGCGUGAGUGAUGAAGGCCUUAGGGUUGUAAAGCUCUUUUACCAGGGAUGAUAAUGACGGUACCUGGAGAAUAAGCUCCGGCUAACUCCGUG